rnacentral:lncRNA from 1 species
UGUUCUUUUAGACUCUAGGUGAGCUUGUAGUAAUCCAAGGACUGGUGAUUUAGGCCACUGAGUUCUGGCUUUGAGUACAUCUCUAAUUCCUAAACCUUCACUAAGAGGGAGGUGAAGGGAGUCAGGUGUGCCACAUGUCUGCUACUGAAAAAUGCCUAGAUGGGAAAGGAGUUUGAAAUAUUGUCCUAAAAUGAAGUUUCUGAGUUAGAUGGACCGAAUUUCACCAUGUGUUCACUGUUAUUACUGUGUAAAAUCAAGAGAUUUAAAUGAGAUUACGAUUAUUAAUUAGCUUUCUGAGAUAUUGAAACCUAAGAACCUGGCCGGGUGCGGUGGCUCACGCCUGUAAUCUCAGCACUUUGGGAGGCUGAGGUGAGCGGAUCACCUGAGGUCAGGAGUUCGAGACCAGCCUGGCUAACAUGGUGAAACUCUGUCUCUACCAAAAAUAUAAAAAUUAGCCAGGCGUCGUGGCGCAGGCCUGUAAUCCUGGCUACUUGGGAGGCUGAGGCAGGAGAAUCGCUUGAACCCGGGAGGUGGAGGUUGCAGUGACCCAAGAUCAUGCCACUGCACUCCAGCCUGGGUGACAGAGUGAGACUAUGUCUCAAAAAGAAAAAAGGAAAACAAAAAAGAAAACUAAGAACCCAAUUACCUCUGCCACAUACAUGGGCUGUCUUUGGUUAAUGUGAUGACAUACUAAGCCCCAAACUGGUAUAUAUAAUCUCUGGUCACUUCUACACCAAAGCUGUUAACUUAACUUGGCAAUGAAGGCCGUAUGGAAAAUCGAGGACCAGGGAGAGUACCUUGCCAGCAAUUUUGUAGUUAUGAUUUUCGAUGAAGAGCUGCACAGUAAUAGGGGAAAUUCUGAAUGGUAUUCAAGUCCUCCAGCCAGCAGCAGCAGGAUGUGGUUUUCAAUGUGCACUAUGCAAGUAGCGCUUCAGAUGGAGCUUAUUCUUAUUUUUAAUUUAUUUUUUAUUUUAUUAAUUCAUUUGUUUUUAUAUAUUUUAAGAUUUAUUGACAUAAAAAUUAUAUAUGGUGUACAAUUUGAUGGUUGAUAUGCACAUGCGUUGUGAAAUGAUCAUCAAAAUCAAGAUAAUUAACACAUUAUCACCUCUCCGUAGUUACUAUUUUGUGGAUGCAUGUGUUUUUAUUUUAUUUCUGAAAUAAUUUUAGACUUACAGAAAAUUUGAAGAAAUAGUACAGAGUUCACAUAUUUCUACCACUUUGCUUCCCUGAUGUUAAAAACUUAUAUAACUGUAGUUCAGUAAUCAAAAUGAGGAAAUUAACUUUGAUACAAUACUAUGAAUUAAACUAUAGCCCUUUGAUUUUCACCAUCUCCUCCCACCCCUACCAUGCCUUUUUAAUAUUCCAGGAUAUAAUCUAAGAUGCCACGUUGCAUUCAUUCGUGUCCCCUCAGUUUCCUCCAAUCUGUGACAGUUGUUCCGUAUUUCCUUGUCUUUCAUGGACUCUUGAUGAGUACUGGCCAGCUUUUUUGUAGAAUGAUCCUCAGUUUGGUUUUGUCCACGUUUUCCUCAUGAUUAGACUAAGGUGAUGUGUUUGGGGGAAGAAGAUCACAAGGUGAAAUGCCCUUGUUAUUUCCUAUCGGGGUACAGGAUGCCAACGUGGCUUAUUAGUGAUAUUUACCACGAUCACUUGGUUAAGGUGGAAUCUCCCAGGUUUCAUUACUGUAAGUUACUUUUCUCCCUUUGUAAAUGAUAAACAUCUUGGAGAGAUGCUUUAGAUAGGGUCUGGGUCUCAUUUUUUGUAGAGCUGGUCUUGAACUCCUGGUCCCUUUUUUUUUAGAGCUGGUCUUGAACUCCUCCUGCCUCAGCCUCCCAAAAUGCCAGGAUUAGCUGUGUGAGCCAUGCUUAUACCACUGGGCGUGAUGGUGUUGUUUUUAUUGAUCACAAUGUGCUUCAAGGUAAAUACUACUUCAGCAUGAUACCCAUUUUUUAAAGCUUAAAAAUAAAUAUGGCAAAAUAAUAUAUUUUUAGAUAUAUCUAUAUUUAUACCUACACCUGCCCUCUCUAUACAUAGAUAUAUAUGUAGACUAUAAAGAAAAGCACAGGGAUUAUGGACAUAACCUUCAGAAGAGUGGUCAUCUCUGUGAUGAAGCAAGGGGACUGGAUCAGAGAAGAAAUUCCAGCAGUCCUGUAGCUUCCACAGGACUAGAAAUAUUUCAUUCUGCAUGAAGUGAUGGGUGUAUGGAUGUUAUUUAAUUGUUAUGCUUCAUAACUUAGAUUCACAUCCCACUUUGAGAAUAUCUCCUAUAGAAACAAAGGACUUGUAUUUAAGAAUGUGUAAGAAGAGUCACCACGGAGCUGACAUGGAGGCUGGUGGCACCUGGGCGCAACGCCGUAUGCCAACUAGCCUACCGCGUGGAUCACGGAGCUCACUGACGAGAAUGUCAAGUUCAUCAUAUAUAUAUAUGUAGAUGUGACUUAAUAUUUCAAUGAGAAACACUGAAAUAAAAAAAAACCAAAAAGCAUUUCCACCAUCCAUCAGUUGCUAAGUAGCCAUGUGCCCCACCUAAUGUAAUCUAAUUUAUCAUGUAAUUUUGGUUUAAGCUGGACAUUAAGACUUGCAAAGAAAUGGCUUUUGCCUAAGAUUAAUAGUAACUACUAAUAUUCUUUUUCUUCAAUCUGCAAAGGUAAUGUUAAUGAAACUUGCAUGUUAAAAUUCUGUAAUUAUAAGUAAAGUGUUUUACUAAGUACCUUAAAGGAAGUCGUGCAGUUUCUAGACAAGAAGCAUCCAAACCACUAUCAAGUCUACAAUCUAUGCACUUCAUUAUUUACUGUGUUAUUACCUGUAGAGAUAUAACAUACAUAUUAUUUAUUUUAGGUGAAAGAGCUUAUGAUCCUAAGCACUUCCAUAUUAGGGUCAGUAGAAUCAUGAUUGAUGAUCAUUAUGUCCCCACUCUACAGUAAGUUUUAUGCUAAGUUGACUAUCAGAAGAGGGCUAAAUAUAUUGGGCUUGGUUUUCUGAAAAUAUUUUAAUUUAACUAAAAAUAUUAAACUUGAAAUCAGUAAGAUGGUGGUAUUCUCCAAGGAAGUAAAUGAGUGGAUGACUCAAGAUCCUGAAAACAUCAUAGUGAUUCACUGUAAAGGAGGCAAAG